UAAUUAAAAAUAAUAUGCCUAUUUAUUCUUGGUACAUGAGUCAGAAUGCUCCGGGGACCCAAGUAUUGUUCGAGCACAAAAUUCUUGGUACACAUCACUGAGUAAGGAUGAUCCGGGGACCUAAGUAUUGUUCGAGCACAAAACCACGAACCCUAGUUUUUCUAGAUAAGUACCACAGACUCUAGUUUUCUGGCCUCUCGUUGCUGCGAAGAUUCAUUUGAGGAUUUUCCUGGAAAAUUUUCGUCGGAGCUGACCGCAACAAUUGCAGAACCUCUAUGGUUGAUUUUCAUAGAAGCUGUCCGAAUUGUUCCUAUGAUCUUUGUCUGACUUGUAGCCGAGAAAUUCUGAACGGAUGCUUGCGAGGAGGUGGCGAUGAAAUUUGUUUGCAAUAUUCUGACCGGGGAAAAUCUUCCUUGCAUGGAUGGAAACCUCUCCCUUUGCCUUCAGAUCACAAAGUUUCUUUGAGUUCUUCCAUUGAGUCUAGUUCAGAGGAGGCCAAUUUCAGAGCGGAAAGCAAAGGAAACUGGUGUCAUACCUUGCCCACCAAAGGAAAUGGAUGGUUGUAGUCAUGAUCGUUUGGAGCUGAAUUGUAUUUUCCCAAAGAGCUGAGUCUCAGAGUUGAAUAAUAAAGUAGAUAAAAUUGUUGAAGUCCAUGAACUUGCAGAAUUUCUAAGCAAAUUGUCAUUGGUAAUGGAAACUGAGGGAAUCUGCUUAUAGAAAAGAUUAUGAAGACAACUACUUGUACUGUGCUCAAGUGAUAUCUAUCGGGAGAGUCUGUCUCAUCAAUAGUUUCAUCUAUUUUUUCUACUUUAUUCUUCAACUCAGACACCCACUUUUUGGAAACAUAGACUUCAGCUCCAAACAAUCACCGUCCAUUUCCUUUGGUGGGCAAGGUAUGACACCAUUUUCCUCUGCUUUCCACUCUGAAAUUGGCCUCUUUUUAUCCUCUGAACUAGAUUCAAUGGAAGAACUCAAAGAACCUUUCUGAUCUGAAGGCAAAGGGAGAGGUUUUCCUCCAUGCUAGUAAGAUUUUCCCCUGUCAAAAUAUUGCACACCAAUCGAAAGUGUUGGAAGAUGAUGCUCCUUCAUUUUAGGGAUUAGAUUGUAAGGCAGAUUGAUUGUUGUAAAUUAGGGCCGUUGUUGGAUAUCUCUGCAACAUGCUGUAUUUUCAUUUCUUUUUUUUGAAAACCAGGAUUGGUGAAAGCAAAUAUGGUAUUAUUCUGUUAAACAAUAUUUAGUGGUGAAACAUUUUGAAAAUCUUCUUUACUUUGAACUCAUGAUCUUGUCCAUCAAUUGUAGGAGAUGAUUGUGCUUAACAUACACUUCAGCUCCAAAUGAUCUCCAUCCAUUUCCUUUGGUGGGCAAGGUAUGACACCAUUUUCCUCUGGUUUCCACUCUGAAAUUGGCCUCUUUUUAUCCUCUGAACUAGACUCAAUGGAAGAACUCAAAUAACCUUUCUGAUCUGAAGGCAAAGGGAGAGGUUUUCCUCCAUGCUAGUAAGAUUUUCGCGUCAAAAUACUGCACACCAAUAGAAAGUGUUGGAAGAUGAUGCUCCUUUAUUUUAGGGAUUAAAUUGAUUGCUGACAAUGAAGAGCAGAUUGUAAGGCAGAUUGAUUGUUGUAAAUUAGGGCCGUUGUUGGAUCUCUCUGCAACAUGCUGUAUUUUCAUUUCUUUUUUUUGAAAACCAGGAUUGGUGAAAGCAAAUAUGGUAUUAUUCUGUUAAACAAUCUUUAGUGGUGAAACCUUUUGAAUAUCUUCUUUACUCUGAACUCAUGAUCUUGUCCAUCAAUUGUAGGAGAUGAGUUUGCUUCUUCCUGAUACUUUGUCUUUUGAGACAAUAAUGUUUCCCCCACUCCAUAUAGUCUUUGACAUGGCAACAGAACACACUGAAAUUUUGCCUGCUUAACAAAAGCUUUUUGUCCACCAUAAUCUGAUGAGACCCAAAUGCAUAGCUUGUUUUAUUUGAGAUCUCCCACAAUGGAUAUUAUUGUAAUUUCUGAAGCUCCAUGUUUAGUAGGUUUGAGCCUACCAUUACGAAGGAAAUAAUGAAUCCCCUUCAUUAUAUGUUUCUCUCUCUUAAGCUGACAAGUUUCUUAAUGUCAAACUUCUAUUGCUUUUGAGUUCAAUAUUUAGUGAUUUAUUCGGCUUGUUUGAGGCUCGCCUUGUGGAGAGUGGGAUGAGGACUUUGAGCCAAACAGAAUCUUGUGGAUCAUUGAUCAGUGACAAUGGUUUGCGGAGAACUAGCGACUUGUUUUGGUGCCCACUUUAGAUAGAAGAUGUCUGAUUGUGUUGGAAAAGGUUUAUCACUCGUGCUUAAUAACUUGAUUGUGGAACUCUCCUAUUGAAUGUGCAUAUGAAACUUUUGAUGUGAUAUUAUGCAUCAAGUCUGCAAUCGGGGGCUGCAAUUGGGGAAGGAUCUCCCCCAUCUCAAGCACUGUCUUCGUCUGACAAAUUAGCAUGCAGGUAAUGACAUGGAGGAAAUGUGGAAAGGGGGGUUGGCAAUGUAAUAUAUCUAUGCUCGGAGAUAUUCUAAAAUUUGUAGAUGUCCCAAUUGGAUAGUUGAUGUGCCUAUACCAUUCAUUAGCGAUUUUGGAUAGGCCUUAUGUUUAGUGAAAUUGCUGUGAAAUGCUGGAAUUUAGUUCAAAA